UGUAACCAAUCGAGGGCCCAAGUGGGCAGGUGGCACUUAUGACACUGUAAUCGGCAUCGAUGAGAAGAAUCGAGAAACUCCCUCGCCAUCGGGUCACUAAUCUGCUCGGCUCCUCCCAGCGAUUCCCCGCGGUCCUCGCCGGCGGCGGCUCCUCCCAGCGAUUCCCCGUCGUCUUCGACGGCGGCGGCUAGGGACAGGGACUGAGCGUCUUGCGUCGUUCCUUCUGCCUGCUAGGACGAGCAGCGGAUCGAAUUAACCACAUGCCGUUCGCCGGAGCCAUAGCCAUCGCCAUCCUCUUGCUGGCCCCCUGUGCCGAGGCCACGUCGGGGGGCUUCACGAUCGAGCAGAUCUUGUCCGACAAGGGGUGCGGUGCCUUCGCCGGCCUCGUUGCCACCACGGCCAGCGUGGGCGAGGUGUUCCGUUCCUUUUUAGAGAAGGAGGUUGAGACCCCCGACGUGUUCGACGUGUUCGGUGAGAAGAGGGCCCGCAAUGCGGGGCUCACCAUUUUCUGCCCGGAAGACGAUGCGGUGGCGGGGUUCACUCCGAGAUUCAAGAAGCUCAGCGCUGACGCGCAGGUCGCACUUCUUCUGUAUCAUGGAGUGCCGUCGCGUCGCUCCGAGGAGGCGCUCAGGUUGAUCAACGGGGAGGAGGUGCCGACGCUUGAUAAGGGUCCCUUGCCGGGCUCCAGAAGCAUGCUCACCAUCGAUGUCUAUGAAGAUAUCGUGGUACUUUCUUCGCCGUUGCCGUCGCCGUCGGUUGCUGCUGUCACCGAGAUGGUCGUCGACCACGACCGCCUGGCUGUCUACAUCAUCAACGACGUGAUGAUUCCGAGAGAGCCAGAGAUUGGAUUCCCAGCCUUGCUUCUUUUCUUUGGGCUCCUGGCGUUGGCAGCGCUGGUGCUCGCGCAGGUAUUAUUGAUCUUCGGUGACGUCUGAGAAGAUCGUUUCGUGUCAAGAUUGCGCUACUACCUAUGUUGGGCGACAAGGACCUUAGUUCAUGACUGUUUCAUUUACAUCGGCUGGUCUAAUGUUAACAACUUCUACAUUAUCCUGCUCUGUUUCAUACUUGGUAUCGCUGCCUACCUUUACAAUGUGCUUAAGAAGUGAGUGAGGUGCAACUGUGUGCUCAUGUCGUGGUCGGUAGUGAUCUUGCAUUGGAUUCUCUACUUGUCAUGUCCUGCUGUGAUUGGUUUCAAUAUGGGCAGCUUUGGUGGAAAGUGGAGUUGUUGAAGAUGAUGAUUUAAGCAUAAGAUUAGAACCUAAUUGCAUUGGAAAGAAAGGGUUUUAGGAUCUUAUACGCCCAGUGGGAGCUGCCGUGUCAAUGGAGGAAAAUGGACUUCCUCGUCUCAUCCGGAUCCACGCCGCCACCGUCACACCACAGACCACACACCCUUCUCCCUCUCCUCCUCGAUCUUCUGGACACGGUCGGCGGCUGCUGUCAGACGCGGCUGAGCCGUCGCCGCAGCCUCUGGUUCCCUUUGCCAUAAUUCCAUUGCUGGCACCUGCCCCUCCUUGGCGGUCCCAAUCGAAAUCGAGAAGAUCGCGCGGCACCAACGGAGAGGAAGUCGGUGUCGUGCUUUGCUGCUCGUUAUCUGUCACGGAUUUUCCAAGGUCUCGUGCCUCGAUUUGAUUUCCUACAUGAGGAAGUGUACAGCCGUGAUUGCUGCAGGUGUUUGCACAUUUCAAAAUGGAUUGGUUGCCUUGCAGGGCUGUGACGGCUUGGUUCUCAUUGAGUCGAUGGUAAACAGUACGGCGGAGAAGGUUGUGAUCCCAAACAACCCAAGCCUCCAGGCUCCAGCUCUUCGAAGUCAUCGCGCCGAAGGCAGCCAUUGAGGUGUCUGAAUAAUGCUUGUUGCCUGGCAAUCAGAAGAUGCAGAUAGAUUGUGGAUCGCACAUGCUUAAUCUGCAUAAAGCUCUGCUUCAAGUACCCAGACAGGGAUUAGUGCAACAGCUACUCAGCUGGUCUGAAGCAACGGAUGCCUACAUACAUUACAGGAUGUUGACCAUUUCUUGAUCAGAAAGACAUACAAAAUGUUAGUUCAGUUUGAUUCAUGGACCCAUAUGGUCAAACAUAUCCAUGGAGUGUAGUUCUUGAACCAAAAAUUCUGUGAUCUGGUACAAUGUUUGUGUUGCUAGUUGGAAUAUAUGACCCAAAGUUCAUGUUGCUAAUUUUCUGACUUGGAUGAAGUGCUAAAUUUUGAAGACAAUUAUGUGAUCUGAUACAGUGGGAAAGGAGGAUACAGCUUUUCUCAAUGUUGCACAUGGUUCAAUUCGUAUACAAAAUGAAGGUGUCUCAUAAGAAAAUGAACUUGUGCAUGGAUCUGAAUUAGGAAAGAAAUUUGCUUCGUAGUACAUGGGAAACGAACCAAAAAGAUUUCUUUGCUCUUCGUAAAGGACGUUUGUGUAUGGAUUGGAAGCAUGUGUACAUACUUGAGAAUCCACUGAAUUUGAGGCAGACUUUAGCAAACUGGCAGGGGCUUCAAGACGAGAACUGUACAGAAGAAAGGGGCUUUGCUGUAAAGGAAUUGCACCAAUCUCAAUGAAAUGAAUGGCGAACAAAGGGGUUUUGUGUUUUCGGUGCAGUCGAGGGCGUUCAAAUCUCUGUGCGCCUUCUCUUGCGUCAAGGACAUAUAAUUAUCUUGACUUGAUGGACAGCACCUCAACAGGUACCCAAGGUCCAAUCCAUCAUGGCAUCAUCCCUUGUAAACAAAGAGGGAAGACUUCCGAAGAGAGCAGGCAGCGUCUCCAAUGAAAAAUUGAUUUCGGCGAAAAAUCUGAAAACUUGUGUCUUGCUCCGUUGGAUUUACAACGAACGGCAUCCACUCGAAGGUGAAGGUCCCACCAGCAACCCAUCAUCCCUUGUAAAAAAAAAGAAGGAAGACUUCCGAAGAGAGCUGGUAACAUGUCGUGAUGCCCGGCAAUUUGUUAAUUUGGCUUUGUCUGGGACUGUUUACUUGAGUUGGGAGGCUAGGUGUCCACACGAUGCCAAUCAAUUUUCUUAUUUUUGAAACCUGCUCUUCCAAUUUGUUAAUUUGGAGGUUAGCUGUCCACACAUGCUCAUCAAAUUUCUUAUUUUUGGAACUUGCCCUUCCAAUUUGUUAACUGGGAUGUGCUUCAGUACGCCCCAUAAAAAAAUAUUUACAAAUAUCGAUGCAAAUCAGUGGUGGAGAUUAGUAGAUACCUUUUCAUUAUAAAAUGUACUUUAGUCUGUUUUACCAAAUUAAACCGCCAAGGAAAACUUAAAACUGGUGGGUCAUUGAUUAUUGCAACACUGAAUAUACAUAGCCCAUUUGAAAUCCACAAAAAAAUCAAGGUAACUGGUGACCAGGCUGUAUAGGAGUAACUGUAAUUAAUGGCGAUUAGGAAGCGUGGACCGGCAUGUUGUUGUGGGGAUUCCGCUGUAAUCAUGUAUGCGCCGGCUGUGGGCAGCCUGCACAACCAAUAUUUGCAGGGACGAGGGCGCUUGUACAACUGGGAAAGAUGGUUUGACGGAGCAGCUAGUUCACCGUUGCAAGUCCCAUCAGUCUCAAAGGAAAUCCUUUUCAGGAUGAGCCCAAUGAAUAGUAAAUAGAGAUAGGUAUGGGUUUGGAUCGGUGUCUCCCUGUAUAAUUGUACCAUUAAGUUUUAUAAGGUGGGUUUCAUCGAGUACUUAUGAAUAUGUUGGGAUCUUUUAUUUGACUGAAUAAAAUACCAGCCCCCCAUUGGUCUUUAAAAUACUAGCAGUUGGUAAUAUUAAAGCAGCGUUGCAUAUCUAUUCAAUGUUGUUUUUGAAAUAAUAUCUACUCAAUUUGCCACUUAUCUACUCAAUUAUGCAAGGAUUGUCUCUGUUUGUCAUGACUCGCGAGCCACUGUAAUGGCCGAUCGAUCCCUCAAUUAGUUUAAACCUUCCUGAAGGUGAGCUGUAUGUCUACCUAAAUAAUUAAGCAAGUGUCAUCGAUUGUUUAAUCGGAUAGGGCCGGACUGUGAUAAGUACAUUUAGAAAUAAGUACCGAGACCUAUUCACACCAGAUGAUACCUCACGCGAUGCUGAGUGCAAUGGAGUAUUAAUAUUGAUUAGUAAUAUGAGAACUGAAAAUAAAAUGUACUCCCUCCGCUCACAAAUAUAAGAUGUUUUGGAUAUUUCAAUAUGGACUACAUACGGACUGAAAUGAGUGAACAAACACACUAAAUGUGUCUAUAUACAUCCAAUUAACAAAAAAGUUAGAACAUCUUAUAUUUGUGAACGGAGGAGUAUAUGUUUAUUGUUUUUGAUUAUUAUUGUAGAGUUGUAAAAAUACUAUUGAAUAUAAAUAGCAUAAUAGAAUGGAAAGUCUUUCCCAUACACGGUUGCAUAUUGUGCCUUUUUUCUAUACAUGGUUACAUGUUAAUGUGACACAUUUGUAUGUCGAGAGAAAUAUGUUAAUGUGGAUCGUCAAUUAAAUUAUAUAGGAUUAUCUCGACUUGACCUGACCAACGGUGUUGUCAAGGGCGUUCACACGCUGUGCACGCUGUGAGUGGUUAUUUAUCUCAAAGUUAACAUUGUUUUGUGCCAAAUUUUGUUAGUUUCCAUUUCCAUGUGCACAUCUUCCUUCAUUGUUUCAGCACUCGACUCUGCUUUACAUAUUAGCGUUAGAUGGACGAAGUAGGUUAGCAUUAUAAAUAUUUGAAUCGAACAUGCAUGCCACCAUGCAUAAAGUUGGUUGAGCAAUGUACAUUGCGUCUGUUUCCUCAUCAUCUCUGGCAUGAGCCUGUUAAAUGCCCUUCUUAAAAUUUCUCUUAUCCUCUUGAGGGUCACGAACUGAACCUUUUAGUUUUCUCUUACAACAUGACACAUACAGCGGGAAACUUUGAUGAUGAGUACUUGAAGGGGACUGAAGAAUCAAAUAAGUUUCAUCAGGAAUAUAAGAUGCGUAGAAUGAAGCAUAUGUAAAAUUUUGAUUCACCAAUGAUGAAGGUUUGGAUGUUAUUGGUGAAGGGCUGGCAACUCUGGAAAACAUGGCAUCGGAUAUGAACGAGGAAUUGGAUAGGCAUGUUCUUGUUCAGGCAAGUUCCCUUGAUGGAUGAAAUGGAUGACAAGGUGGAUAGAGCCAAUGCAGAUCUGAAGAAUAUACCAACGUGAGGCUAAAACAGACUAUUCUUCAGAAAGAAAAACAAAUCAUCUAUGCGCUGGUGUGGUGGGAGAGACAGCGUCAGCCCUGUCCCUAUGGAUGCACCUGGCAGCGGACCACGUGUGCCGUGGAGCCGACGAGCUAGCAGGCUGCCGGAUGGGAUCUCCAGUGCUGCACCACCAGCAAUCUCGCGUGGAUGAUGACCUCCAUCACCGGGGGGAGCACAAGCUCGUUGAUAGAGGUCUUCACUCGCAAUGCCGGUGGCUGCGCAAGGUCUCCACGUUCAUACGCUGCUCGUGGAGGGUAAACUGCAUAGGCAUUUUGUUAAUUUUAUUUGAGAUUUUCCUUAAAAUGGAAGGUCGGAUAAUCGAAUUUUCACAGAAUGAGUCACUUGAUGUAAGUCUCAAAUGAUGUCCCUACGCCGCAUUCAGUUGUAAGAGUAGAGACAAACAGAAAUUGCUUGCCAUAAAAGUGUGUCAAGAGACUUGUUUUGUUGUA